rnacentral:tRNA from 1 species
UGCGUUUUAGUUUAGUCGGUUAGGUUUCUUGGCUCUCACCCAAGUGACCCGGGUUCGAUUCCGGCGACGCAA